UACGUAGGGUGCAAGCGUUGUCCGGAAUUAUUGGGCGUAAAGAGCUCGUAGGCGGUCUGUCGCGUCGGCUGUGAAAACCCGGAGCUCAACUCCGGGCCUGCAGUCGAUACGGGCAGACUAGAGUUCGGCAGGGGAGACUGGAAUUCCUGGUGUAGCGGUGAAAUGCGCAGAUAUCAGGAGGAACACCGGUGGCGAAGGCGGGUCUCUGGGCCGAUACUGACGCUGAGGAGCGAAAGCGUGGGGAGCGAACAGG
rnacentral:rRNA from 1 species